rnacentral:rRNA from 1 species
UACGUAGGGUGCGAGCGUUAAUCGGAAUUACUGGGCGUAAAGCGUGCGCAGGCGGCUUUGCAAGACAGAUGUGAAAUCCCCGGGCUCAACCUGGGAACUGCAUUUGUGACUGCAAGGCUGGAGUACGGUAGAGGGGGAUGGAAUUCCGCGUGUAGCAGUGAAUGCGUAGAUAUGCGGAGGAACACCGAUGGCGAAGGCAAUCCCCUGGACCUGUGACUGACGCUCAUGCACGAAAGCGUGGGGAGCAAACAGG